UACGGGGGGGGCAAGCGUUGUUCGGAAUUACUGGGCGUAAAGGGCUCGUAGGCGGCCAACUAAGUCAGACGUGAAAUCCCUCAGCUUAACUGGGGAACUGCGUCUGAUACUGGAUGGCUUGAGUUUGGGAGAGGGGAUGCGGAAUUCCAGGUGUAGCGGUGAAAUGCGUAGAUAUCUGGAGGAACACCGGUGGCGAAGGCGGCAUCCUGGACCAACACUGACACUGAGGAGCGAAAGCCAGGGGAGCAAACGGGG
rnacentral:rRNA from 1 species